AAGGAGGAGGUUUUCAUCCAGUGUGGUGUGUGCAGGAUGGAAUUGCAGAAGCGCAGAUGAGGGCCCCAGAGCCAGCCUGGCCCAGUGAAGGGUCUCAGAGGAGGGGGCUAUGGAGAUGAGACUCCUAAGGAGCAGUGAGCCAGGCAUUCCAGGCUGAGGGGACAUCUUGAGCAGAGGCCUGGUGCCACCUGAGCAUCCACCUUGAGGUCAAGUCCAGCCUUCCUUGUGGGGAGAAGAAGAGGACAAAGGAAAGGUCAGGACUUGGAACACGUCUCGGCGACCCUCUCACCCAGACACCCACCGUUCCAGGAAGCCUUCCCAGGAUGUGAGCCCAGGACAACCUUUGUCCAAGCAGGUGGUCUUUCUGGGUGCCAAGAAGAAUAGUAGGGAACUUGGUUCUGGUAGCAUCCAUGGCACUGCCCCAACUUCCAAAGCUGCUCAGCAAAGACUCACUGGAUGUCCUCAGACCGGCCCUGGCACUGGGACAGGAGGGCAGACUUCCCCAGGGGUCUGUGCCCAGCUGGCCAGAGUGCUCACCUGCUGACCGACACACCCUCCUCUUGUUGGCCUCUUUCCCUUCCUGUCUCAUUUCCUGACUCAUCAAUCUGGACAUUAGGAAAUCAGCUCCCAGAAUGGCAUUCUUCAGAAUAUCAGCCAAUUUGUAUAGAAUUAGUCAGUGCCUGGCCCCCCAGCUGCAGCACCGGGACUCCAGGGAGGAGGAAUGUACCUGCAGCCUCGCCUGAUGCGGAGGCUCCGGCAAGUCCCAGCACAAGAUUCGCCUGCCUGCCCACGACCAGGAGGGGAGGCAGGUAGCAGCAGGGCAGACAUGGAUCCCAGCCACUCCUGGGCAGCCUGUGCCCCACACCAAUCAUAAGCUGCAGCUGCCAGAAACUUGCUCAGGAACAGCAGGGGUGAGGCCACUGACUUCACACAUGUGCACGCACUCACACUCACACUCACACACAUCCUGGCUGAGCAAGCCCAGGGCCAGCCCUGGCCCCUGGGUCCAUGUCCCCAUGGACCAGCCCAGGGACCCCUGGAAAGGGGCAAGAGAUAACUGGCUGAACUCUCUGCCAGAGUUCCAGAAAAAGCCGCAGAGGUUAUGCAAGAGCUAAGUUCAAAUCCCAACACUACCUCUUAACUUGCUGUGUGACCUUGGACAAGAUGCUUUACCUCUCUGGGCUUCACUUGCCCCAUGUGUAAAAUGGGAAUCAUAAAGUGCUUACCUGCAAUCACGUACACGAAUGUGCUUUCGGACACUGAAGUGCUGAAUGCGCUGGGAGUCAAAGCCGUGCUACUGAGACUUCCAAACAGGUCGUGCCUCCUCUGUAAUGUGCGUGUUUAUGUUGAUUCAAUUAAUAAGCACUUAGUGAGCACCUACUAUGUGGUGACUUUGAGGACAUUAUUUCUGCUUUCUGGGCCUCAGUAUCUCC
rnacentral:lncRNA from 1 species